rnacentral:ncRNA from 1 species
AACGAUGCCUCUGGAAAGCGGUGGGGCGCUAAGCGCCACACCCGCCGAUGGGGAAAGGCGCUUGGGGGGACUACGCGCCGAAUCUCUCAGGCGCCCGUGACUGGGUAAGGACAGAGGGAGAGGG